rnacentral:pre_miRNA from 1 species
UUUUAUGAAUAGAUAUGUCCCAUGCAACAUUUGGAACAUUAUUAUACUAAAA